AAAAGUAAUUGUGGGCUUUGCUAUAGAAAGUAAAGGUAAAAACCGCAAUUACUUUUGC
ensembl:miRNA